AGGCAUUGUGUUGAAUGAAUGAGGGUAUUGAGAAUUUAUCUUACACAGAUCUUUUAAAUAAAAAAAAAAGAGAGAAGCUGAAGGUUUUGGAAUUGGGACAGAUGCUAGAGAUAUAGAAGAACAUGGGAAAUAGAUACCAUAAGAGUGUCAGGUUCAUAUAUGAAAUGAGAAGCAUAAAAUGCAUUUUUGUUGAGUUGUAUAUCCAUCCAUGCUUUUUCAUACCAAAAGUCAUUUGGUUACAUAUGUUUACUAACACAAUUCUCACUAUCUGCCAUGUGAAGUAAAGUAAUUUCAGCUGCCUUAAUCAGCUACAAGAGGAGCACAUUCAUAAGCUGGAAAUUAAAGACUUUCAAC
rnacentral:lncRNA from 12 species